rnacentral:rRNA from 1 species
AUUGAACGCUGGCGGCAUGCCUUACACAUGCAAGUCGAACGGACACAGGCGGCGUUGUGCCGACGAGUGGCGAACGGGGGAGUAAUACAUCCGAAUGUACCCAGUCGUUGUGGGAAACUACUCGAAAGAGUAGCUAAUACCUCAUACGAUCUAAUGAUUAAAGCCGGGGACCGCAAUGCUUCGCGCGGGUUUUGCGGCCGAUGUUAGAUGAGGUAGCUGGUGAGGCAAAGGUUGACCAAGGCAAGGAUCUGUAACUGAUCUGAGAGUACGACCCGCCACACUGGGACUGAGACACGGCCCAGACUCCUACGGGAGGCAGCAGUGGGGAAUCUUGCGCAAUGGGCGAAAGCCUGAUCGAGCAAUGCCGCGUGAAGGAAGAAGGCCUUCGGAUUGUAAAAUGCUUUUGUACGGAACGAACAAAAUCUGGUUAAUAUACGAAGGUAAUGACGGUACCGUAAGAAUAAGCACCGGCUAACUACGUG